GGGGAUGUGGCUUAGUGGUAGAGUGCUUGCCUAGCAAGCAUGAAGCCCUGGGUUCAAUUCCUCAGUACCA
rnacentral:tRNA from 1 species